rnacentral:lncRNA from 1 species
GUUGCUGCUGCGACGCCGAGGACGAGCCGGCGGUCAGGCCGUCCAGCACCUUCCUGAUGUUGAAUUUCCUCAUGGUCUCGGAGGGGCUCCCCCGCAGCCCGGGAGGGGAGGCACAGGGGGUCCCCGGGCGGGGGAGACCACCCGGGGCCGAAGGCAGCUUCGACCGCGGAAACGGAGGAGUGGGAGUGUGAGGAGAAAUAUGCAAUGAUGACAUUUCCAAGAAGUGAUGGCAUCUGGCGCUAAGGACAAAGAAUGGGAUUUUGCCACAGGGAUCUUAUUCUCCCACAUGUUCUGUCUGAAGGAGAAAGUUAUCUGAGGCCUUAUAUGAUGCAAAACUUUGGACUCAAAGAAAUUAAAUCACUUGCCCAAGGUUACAUAGCUGCCACCCAGGAGCUUACAAUUUAUGUGAGGAAACAGAUUGUAUACAUAUACAGAUAAUUAAAAAUAUAUAUGCCCCUGGCAAACACCAUUCUACUUUCCGUCUCUAUGAAUUUGACUACUCGAAGUACCUCAUGUGAAAUGUUGGUGCCAAAUGAACUUUUCUGGUUCUUCUGAAUAUGCCACUGUUGCUGGAGAAAUGUCACUGCUAGAGAACAGAAGACUAUUAUUCCAAAGGGUAUUUGAGACUGACUGAAUCAGGUCUGGAACAUUAUUGAAAUGAGACCCACAAAAGAAGAGAUACUGAGGUGGUGACCAGAUGGAUAUAAACGGGCUGUGGAAAAAGAGAAUGCAUGGCCAAAAAUGGUGGUGCUCUCUGUCCAAAAACUGAGGCCCUAUGACCAUGAAUGAAGCCAGAGGGCAGGUAGGAAUAGAUCAUUUGCUCCAGAAGAAGCUGGUUGCCAUGUCUUGAGGACAGUAAACCCUCUGGGGAGGUUCCUGUGGUAAGGAACAAGGGCUCCUGGCAAUAGCCUCUGAGUGAGCCACCUUGAAAAUGGAUUGUCCAGCCCCAGUCAAGCUUUCAGAUGACUGUAGCUCCUGCCAAUGUCUUCACCACAACCUCAUGAGAUCCCAAGCUACAACCACUCAGUUAAGUUAUGCCAAAAUUCCUGAUUCACAGAAAUUGACAUACAGGAGAGGUCACAGUUAAGAUCUUGAUGUUCUAUCUUGACCCAUAAUAUAGGAACUUCAUCUUUUGGGAAGCACCAGGGAGAGCUGCCUGUGCCUGGCAGAAGCUGCCCAUGCCCCACUGAUACCCCACAGUACUUCCUGUUCUGCUUAGUACUCCUGCUUCUUUCUACAAACAACUGUGAUUCUCUACCUGGGAGCUUCCUCUGGCCACAGGAGCCUGCUCACCUGAUUGGGACACCCUAGCAGUACUGGCUCAUAGAUGGAAGGGACUUGCCUUGUCGCUGAUGAGACUUUCGACUUGGACUUUUGAGUCAAUGCUGGAAUGAGUUAAGACUUUGGGGAACUGUUGGAAGGGUGUGAUUGUGUUUUGAAUUGUGAGGACAUGAGAUUUUGAAGAGGCUAAUGGCAGCGUCCCCACCUAAAUCUCUUCUUGAAUUGUAGUUCCCAUAAUCCCCACGUGUCGUGGGGUGGAGCCGGUGGAGAUAAUUGAAUCAUGGGAACACUUUCCCCCAUGCUGUUAUUGUGAUUGUGAAUUCUCACGAGAUCUGAUGGUUGUAUAAACGCCUUCCCUCUUCGCUGGGCACUCAUUUUUCUCCUUCCUGCCACCAUGUGAAGAAGGAUAUGCUUGCUUCUUGUGCCAUGAUUGUAAGUUUCCUGAGGCCUCCCCAGCCAUGCUGAACUGUGAGUCAAUUGAACCUCUUUCCUUUAUAAAUUACCUAGUCUUGGAUAUGUUUUUAUUAGCAGUGUGAGACAGGACUAAUACACAAAGGAUUUGAAAUCACAAAGGAGCUGUUUUCUGCUCCACCAUGGAAGUCUCACAUGCAUCACAUCUAUUCAUAUCCAUUUGCCACAACUAGACAAAAAGUCCUUUUUAAAAUCUGCCUAGAGAUCAGGAAGUAUUAUCUCUGGAUGCCUAGGCAGGAGAGGUGAAUCAGAUAUUGGUGGGCACUAGUGUGUUCUAUGAUACAUAGCUUAAUAAAAAUAAGUUUCAGAUAAAUCUAAAUAUACAUUAGAAUACUGUAACCACAGUAGAAAAAAAUAUUGGCUCCUUUUUGUGAUAAACUAAUGAUGGUAAAUGCACCCUAUUUAAGCAAGAAAAGAAACUGAUCUGCCAUAAAGAAAACAAUGACAUAUUUAACUACAAAAUAUGUUACAAAAUAUUAAUAUCCCUAAUGGACAAAUGAGUUCCAAUAAAUGGAUAACAAAAAACCAAUAAGUCUGUAGAAAAAUGGAGAAAAUAUAUUUGCAGAAUAUUUAUACAGGUGGUAAUGAAAUUGACAAUGAUGUUUAUCAUCAGCAGUAAACAGUAAAAAGUUUCACCCACCAGGACUAUAGAAAUUUUUCAAAUGGAUAAUUUUCAGAAUCAGCAAAGUUAUAGAAAAGUAGGUACCAGUUGCACAUACCAUUGGAGGAAAUGUAAAAUAUAGUUACCUUGUGGAAAGUAAUCUGAUGUAAUAUAUUAAAAUUUUAUCCAUGUAUGUCCUAUAAUUCAGCAAUUCCAUGUUGGGGAAUCCAUACAAAGAAAUACUUAUACACAUGCAGAAGGAGCUAAGUUUAAGAAAGCACACAUUUCAGCGGGUUGUGGUGUCUCACCCCUGUAAUCCCAGCACAUUGGGAGGCCGAGGUUGGUGGAUCACCUGAGGUCAGGAGUUUGAGACCAGCCUGGCCAACAUGGUGAAACCCUGUCUCUACUAAAAAUACAAAAAAUUAGCUGGUGUGGCAGUGGGUGCCUGCAGCUACUCAGGAGGCUGAGGCAGGAGAAUCGCUUGAACCUGGGAGGUGGAGGUUGCAGUGAGCUGAGAUCACACCACUGCACUCCAGCCUGGGUGACAAGAGCGAAAUUCCAUCUC